UACGGAGGGUGCAAGCGUUAAUCGGAAUUACUGGGCGUAAAGAGUACGUAGGCGGUUUAUCAAGUUGGGUGUGAAAUCCCGAGGCUCAACCUCGGAACUGCAUCCAAAACUGGUAGACUAGAGUUCGAGAGGGGAUGGUAGAAUUCCUAGUGUAGAGGUGAAAUUCGUAGAUAUUAGGAGGAAUACCGGUGGCGAAGGCGACCAUCUGGCUCGAUACUGACGCUGAGGUACGAAAGCGUGGGGAGCAAACAGG
rnacentral:rRNA from 1 species